UUAUCGAAGGCCUCUCUGUCGGCGAGCUUCAGCUUCA
rnacentral:sRNA from 1 species